GCCCCGCCUACCUCCCGCCGCCGGGACCGCGUGGUGCUUCCCAUGGCGCAGCAGCUUCGGCUGUAGAGUGGGGUGAAGUGUCGGCUCGUUCACCAUGAGGCCGCCGAAAGUGGUGCCGUGGCGGCGGCUGGUUGGGGUCUCCUUCGGGAUAUACACGGCCGAGGAGAUCAGGAAACUGAGUGUAAAACCUAUAACAAAUCCUCAGUAUUUGGACAAUGUGGGGAAUCCAGCCAUUAAUGGACUGUAUGACAUGGCUUUGGGACCUCCAGACUCCAAAGAAGUGUGUGCAACUUGCAUGCAGAACUUCAGCAACUGCCCUGGUCAUUUUGGCCACAUAGAACUGCCCCUGACUGUCUACAAUCCUCUGUUUUUUGAUAAAUUAUACCUUCUUAUUCGAGGUUCUUGUUUAAAUUGUCACAUGCUGACAUGUACUCGAGCUGUGGUUCACUUACUGCUAAGUCAGCUGAAAGUUCUGGAGAAAGGAUUGCUUCAUGCUGUCCAUGAUCUUGAAGUUAUUCUGAACAGGUUUUUAGAGCAAUGUGCAGAUGCAACAGGUUCAGAAAUUGAAGAAGAGUUGAAUCACCAUGUUCAGGAAAUAUUACAAAGUUAUGAAAUAAAAGAUCAGUGUUCAAAUGUCAAAAAUGUAUGCGAGUGUAGAAAUAAACUGAUAGCACAGUUCUGGAAAGCACAUAUGAGUUCAAAGAAAUGUCCAAACUGCAAAUCUAAGAGAUCACUAGUGCGAAAAGAGCACAACACUAAGCUGAUAGUAACAUAUCCUUCUACUGUGUACCAUAAGUCAGGAGAGGAAGGCGUUCUGGGUGAGCCAGCAGCUAUUGAUGAAAGCCAGUUAGGGAAGAGAGGAUACCUGACACCGAUGACUGCCAAGGAAUACAUCCUGGCUCUGUGGAAGAAUGAAGGUUUCUUUUUGCGUUCUCUCUUCCCUGGGAUGGAUCCCCAUGAGAGUUCAGGAUUCAGUCCAGACAUGUUUUUUUUAGAUCUACUUGUGGUUCCGCCCUCAAGAUAUCGUCCCGUAAAUCGUGUUGGAGACCGACUGUUUACAAAUGGUCAGACAGUGAACUUGCAGGCUGUCAUGAAAGAUGCCAGAAUGAUACGGAAGCUCUUGGUUUUCAUGGCAAAAGAGCAAUGUCAGCCAAUAAAAAUUACAGAAGAAGAAAUCCAAACAGAAACAGGAGAGAAUAAUGAACCUCUGGACCAUUCUGUCCUGACGAUGAUUCCAGGACAGACCAUUGCAGAUAAGCUGUACAACGCUUGGAUUCGUCUUCAGAGCCAUGUCAACAUUGUAUUUGAUAGUGACAUGGACAAACUAAUGACAGAAAAAUACCCUGGUAUUCGUCAGCUAUUGGAGAAAAAGGAAGGAUUGUUCCGCAAGCACAUGAUGGGAAAGCGCGUCGAUUUUGCUGCUCGAUCAGUCAUUUGUCCAGAUAUGUACAUUGGUACCAAUGAGAUUGGCGUUCCUAUGGUAUUUGCUACCAAACUGACUUAUCCUCAGCCAGUCACUCCCUGGAAUGUCAAAGAGCUGAGGCAGGCUGUCAUAAACGGCCCAAAGGUUCACCCUGGGGCCUCCAUGGUCAUUAACGAAGAUGGAUCUUGGACAGUGCUGAGUGCAAGCAGCCUGACCCAGAGGGAAGCUAUAGCUAAGCAACUCCUCACUCCUUCUUCAGGCGCGCCCCAGUCAGGACUAAAGAUUGUAUGUCGACAUAUUAAGAAUGGAGAUGUCCUUUUACUGAACCGCCAGCCCACUCUUCAUAGACCCUCCAUCCAAGCUCACCGGGCCCGAAUCCUGCCUGGAGAAAAAGUGCUGAGGCUUCACUAUGCCAACUGCAAGGCUUACAAUGCUGAUUUUGAUGGUGAUGAAAUGAACGCCCAUUUUCCACAGAGUGAGCUGGGUAGAGCAGAGGCCUACACCUUAGCCUUUACUGAUGAACAAUAUCUAGUUCCAAAGGAUGGUAAGCCGCUUCCUGGCUUGAUCCAGGAUCACAUGAUUUCUGGAGUUAGCAUGACAAUCCGGGGAUGCUUUUUCACCAGAGAACAAUAUAUGGAGCUUGUUUACCGAGGACUAACAGACAAAAAAGGAAGAAUUAAAAUCUUUCCUCCUGCCAUUAUGAAACCACAGCGAUUAUGGACAGGAAAGCAGGUUGUUUCUACAUUGUUAAUAAACAUCAUUCCAGAAAAACAUGUCCCACUGAAUUUGACUGGGAAAGCUAAGAUUGGUGGAAGAGCCUGGGUAAAGGGACCUGCAAACAGGCAUCUAAGUCUUGAUUCAAUGUGUGAAUCUCAGGUUAUUAUUAGAAAUGGGGAAUUACUGUGUGGAGUCUUGGACAAAGCUCACUUUGGCAGCUCUGCCUAUGGCCUGGUCCACUGUUGCUAUGAAAUCUAUGGAGGUGAAACUAGUGGGAAAGUGCUGACGUGUCUAGGACGCCUCUUUACUGCUUAUCUGCAGCUGUACAGGGGAUUUACAAUGGGGAUUGAAGAUAUUUUGGUUAAACCUGAAGCAGACUACAAAAGACAAAAAAUCAUUGAAAACUCAAGCCAGCAUGGUAUUGAAGCUGUUAGAGCUGCUCUUAAUUUGCCAGAAACAGCAUCAUGUGAGGAGGUCCAAGGGAAAUGGCAGGAUGCCCAUCUCUGCAAAGACCAGAGGGAUUUUAACAUGGUUGAUCUGAAAUUCAAGGAGGAAGUAAACAAUUACAACAAUGAAGUUAACAAGGUUUGCAUGCCCCUCGGUCUCCACAGGAGCUUUCCAGAGAACAAUUUGCAGUUGAUGGUACAGUCAGGAGCCAAAGGAUCCACUGUAAAUACAAUGCAGAUUUCUUGUUUGCUGGGCCAGAUUGAGUUGGAAGGUCGAAGACCCCCACUGAUGGCAUCUGGCAAAUCGCUGCCAUGUUUCCAGCCUUACGAUUUUUCCCCUAGCUCAGGAGGAUUUGUGACUGGCAGAUUUCUCACUGGGAUCAAACCUUCUGAAUUCUUCUUUCACUGCAUGGCUGGCAGGGAGGGUCUUGUGGAUACAGCUGUCAAAACCAGCCGUUCUGGAUACCUACAAAGGUGUAUCAUAAAACAUUUGGAAGGACUGGUAGUUCAGUAUGACCUGACUGUACGAGAUAGUGAUGGCAGUGUGGUGCAGUUUCUGUAUGGAGAAGAUGGGCUUGAUAUCCCUAAAACUCAGUUCUUACAUCCCAAGCAGUUUCCUUUCAUUGCAGAAAACUAUGAGGUAAUCCAGAAGACAAACCAUUUGGAUGAAGCUUUAGCAAGGAUGGAGUCUCACCAAGCUAACCAGCAGUUCAAAGCCAUCAAAAAGUGGCGAGCCAGGCAUCAAAACUCUCUGCAAAGAGAAGGAGGUUUUCUGAUGUUUUCCCAAAAGAAAAUGGCAAUUGUAAAAGCACAGAUUCCAGGAGGAGAAAUCAAAAAUGGAAGAGAUCCUGCUACCUUACAGUUAUUGAAGAUGUGGUAUGAGCUAGAUGAGAAGAAACGAAGAAAGUACCUGAAGAAGACAAAUAAGUGUCCUGACCCAAGCCUUGGUGUUUGGCGUCCAGAUACUUAUUUUGCGUCUGUUUCAGAAACAUUUGAAAAUGGAGUCAAAGAUUAUAUCAACAAAUGGGAAUCUGAGAACAGACAAAGUUAUGCGCACUCAGCACUUUCUUCUGAUAGAUUAAAGGAUUUGUUAUAUUUAAAGUGGCAGCGAUCUCUUUGUGACCCAGGAGAAGCUGUGGGUCUCCUUGCAGCUCAGAGUAUUGGGGAACCUUCCACACAGAUGACUCUGAACACCUUCCACUUUGCUGGCAGAGGUGAAAUGAAUGUCACACUGGGUAUUCCAAGGUUGCGGGAAAUAUUGAUGGUAGCCAGUGCAAAUAUUAAAACGCCAACAAUGAGUGUUCCUGUGUUCAGUACCAAGAAGGCUCUCAAGAAGGUGAAACAGCUUAAGAAACAGCUCACAAGAGUGUGCUUAGCUGAGGUCUUGCAGAAAGUUGAGAUAGAGGAAUCCCUGCAUGUGAAGUGCAAGCAGAACAAACAUCAUCUCUACAAAAUCAAAUUCCUUUUCUUGCCCUAUGAAUAUUACCGAGAGGAGAAAUGCGUGAAGCCCAGGGACAUCUUGCACUUCAUGGAAACAAGGUUCUUUAAAAUUUUUCUGGAAGCAAUUAAAAGGAAGAAUGCAAAGAUGGCAUCUUUUACUGAAGUCAGCACCCGAAAGGCAACUUGGAAAGAUUUAGAUGGUGACCAAGACAAGACACAGAAUAAUCAGGAAGCUCCAGCAGAGGAAGAAGAGAACAUCGUUGAUGCAGAGGCUGAUGAAGGGGAUGGUGAUGCUACAGAAGCAAAACGGAAGAAGAACCAAGAAGAGGAGGUUGAUUAUGAGAGUGAAGAAGAGAAUGGGGAAGAAAAUGUUGAUGAGAAUCUAGAAGAUGAAGAGGCUGAAUCAGAAAAAGAAGAACAGACACCCAGUGCAGAAGAUCAGAUGGGAGCAGAUGGUGAUGAAUCUCAACGUCUUUCCUUUAUGUCUCAGACUAAAAAAGAGAAAGAUCGAUUACUUCAGUCAGCAGAGUUGCGAGUAAAUGCUGUUCUGGACAGUCACCCAUCUAUACAGGAUUACACGUUUGACACUGAAAAUGAACUUUGGUGUGAGGUUUCCUUAACGCUUCCAUUGAUGAAGGUGUACUUCGAUCUCUCCUCCUUGCUUGUCUCUCUUGCACGAAGCACAGUCAUUCACGAAGUGAAGGGGAUCACACGAUGCGUGUUGAAUGAAAGUACCAAUAAGCAAGGAGAGAAGGAACUUGUUCUGCAUACCGAGGGGAUAAACCUUGCAGAGCUGUUCAGAUACUCUGAUAUUUUGGACCUGAACAGACUUUAUUCCAAUGAUAUUCAUGCCAUAGCUAAGAAUUAUGGAAUUGAGUCUGCCCUGAGGGUGAUUAUAAAGGAAAUAAAAGAUGUAUUUGCUGUAUAUGGCAUUGUGGUAGACCCUCGGCACCUUUCACUUGUGGCAGAUUACAUGUGUUUUGAAGGAUUUUAUAAACCGCUGAAUCGUUUUGGAAUUCAGUCCAACUCCUCCCCUCUGCAACAGAUGACAUUUGAAACCAGCUACAAAUUCUUGAAGGAAGCAACAAUGAUGGGUGCCCAUGAUGAACUGCGAUCCCCUUCUGCAUGCCUAGUGGUUGGAAAAGUUGUUAAAGGAGGGACUGGUUUGUUUGACCUCAAGCAACCCCUUACAUAGUGUUUUGGUUAUAAUUUGAGGAUUCUGACUAAAAUGCUCAUUGUAAGAGAUACAUAUGCUCUACUGCUAUGCAACAAGGGCACGUACUGUGUCCUCAGUCAUCUUCCCUGUGCCAAAAGGUGAUUUAGAAGUCAGCUGCAGUGCUGGCACCGGCCACGCUCUUAGCGAUUCUUCCCUGGGAACCAUCCCUUCUCUUAAUUAUCUGCUGCACUGCAGGGUGCCAAGAUACCUCAAGACCAUGAAAACAUGAGAGGAAGGAAAAAAGAAAAGAGCAAGAAUAUCUAUUCAUGCAAAUAAUCUCCUUGAAAUUUGCCUGAACACCUGCAAGUGCAAUUGCUUUGACACCGCGCGCAAUGAGACGGUUAUAUUCGUGGUGCCUCUGCGAGGCUGUGAACGAGCAGUUGUGAAGCACCUGAGAUGGAUCUCCCCACGGCACUGCACAGGCGGUUGUCUUUACAUCCCGCUUGACAAACAGGCAGAGCAGGGAUUUCCUUGGAGAAACUAAUGCUGCGGCUUUUCUGGCUCCUCCAAGGAUGGAAAACCAGAGCCUUGAGUUGGAAAAGACACAUCGCAGUGAUGGAAAGCUAUGGGAAAUGUCAUUUAUGAAGAGAUUUAAAUGUUGCAGCUGAGAAGUUUGGCUGGGGGGGUGGAGAACAAGCCAAUCCAACCACCGAGAGAGGAGAGAUGAAAAUCACAAAGAAGUAUUUUUCCCAAACACUUAUUUGGCAGAGAAUUCAAACCCACCACAGUUCUGGGUUAAGCAACUUAAUUACUGACUGUCUAUUAGGAAAGACUCCUUCUCCAGUGUAUCUGCUUUCAGCGGCGAAACACACACCUGAAAAAUCUUGCAAAGUUUGACCUGGGAAAUUCUGGCUUCCCCUCAGGUAGUCCGUGCUUCGCCUUCGCAGGACGUUGGCAGGAAACAGCUUUAGCCUCGUGAAAGGAAAUGAUCUCAUACCCAGCAGUCAUUAAACCGUGGGACGCCUUGCCACAAGAUGCAUUAGUGGUGAAAAGUUUAAAGUGGCUGAAGAAGACAUUAGGCCAGUUCAUAGAGGAGAGGGUCCUCGGCAGCUCUGGGGCACGCUGGCCUAUUUACAGCUCUGCUUCGGGAAAUCCUUACGUUGCUUAUUGCCAAGAUCUGAGAAAUAAUAACAGAGAAAUGAUCACCCGCUCCCUGCCCUUUUUUUUAAUAGCACCUUUGGAGAGUUACACUGAGCUGUGGAGAUUUUUGACUUGACCCAGCGUAGGUGCUUUUACAGGGUCACCAGAUCAAAGCCCUGUGCCUGAGCCUGCCGCGUGCGGCUAUUUCAACCCGUGGUUGUGAGAUGUCAGGCCGAUUUUACGGUGGUGUUUUACAGCUGCUUGAUACUGGCAUGGUUAACCGGUUCAAGGCAAUACCAACUCACCCAGUAUGUGCCAACAAGGGUUUCCAGUUUAUAGCACUGCUCAUCUGCACUACAGUGGUGCCAGGGAGCUGCUCCUGCCGUACCCUGUCCAAACCAAAAGCAGUCCUGCCCCUUGCCCCACCACAAAAACCCAAAACCUUUUCAGUCCAGAGGUUGUUUUAAUAUUGCCUUUUUAUUUUUUAAGUACUUUGGCUGACAUCAUGGGCAAUUUUGUUGCAAUGCAAGGAACUGUAUGUUUGCUCAGUGGUUUUUCUUCCCAAAUCGCUACAGCUCUGGGGGAAGGUGAGUUUUCAGAAGGAUGUCUCCAUGCUGUGAUGCACUGCCUCGAUCUCCCCUUCUGACUCUGGGCCAUGGGACCAUGUUACGGACCCUUGGAGCCAGCACUGAGGUUUUCCUGUCUGAGCCUUCCCCUUGAUGCCCGUCGUGGUUUUGCCUUGCCCGAAGGUUCAGUGCAACCUGUUAAUUUUCCUGACUUCCUUGUCCAAACCACUGGGCUGGGGGACAAGAGCCCCAGAGUUUCUGCCCAGUGGUCCUCAGAGCUUCUCCUCCCCAUUACCUUCAUUUCCUUCCUGGCAGGUUUAGCUCUAGGCAGGCUAAGGCUGCUGACUCCAUUGUAGCUAACACGUAGCUAGCUCUAGCGUGAAACAAGUAGACCAAACCAGGCUUAAGUCUAAGGCAGCAUGGUGGGAAAAGCUGCUUUCAAAUUCAGGUAAUUUCAUCCCCAGCAUACAUGUAUGCUCCAACAGAGCUGGGCUUACAAAAAACAUACAUUUAGGUCCAACAGACAAUCUGACGUCUGGCCAUAAAAAAUGAUGAAUUGAUGACUCAAUGAAUUAUUUUGCUCUUUCACCAUAUCCAGAUUCCGAUCUAUAUUAGCUAAACCAGUCGGUGCAAGUUUUCUAAAUUGAUUUUAAAUUGACCUAAUUAAGACAGUAAGAGCCCAUAAUGGAGAUGUGCUUAACCCAAUUUAACCCUUCCUGAAAUCAAUUACACUGGAAUUCAGUAAUUUGCAGGCAGAAGCUAAACCAACUUAAGAAAGAGUUAAGACGGUGUAAGUGCCCUUGCAGUGCAGGUCUGCAUUACUUCAGACAAAUUAAACUCCAUCUAGUGCAAGUUGUAAUGUAGCCAGACCACAGCCAAUGUCACACAAUAAUACACGCUUAAUCAAUUCAUGAACUCCAGCCAGAAGUACCAAUGACUGCCAGGCCACCACAAACUGUGACAUCUCAUUUUGUUCCAUCUCUACUGCACCCACUACUUCAUGUUGAAGCAAACCGGUCAUGCUGAACGCAUCUUCUAUAGGAACUUUAGAGUUUUCUGCCCCAGCUUGUGAUUUGAUGGGCUCCCAUCCCAUGUGGAUACCACACAUGGUCUCGAGUUGAGUCAUCUGACAUGAAUGCCUCAUCGCGAUGACGUGACAACAUGUGAUAGAUGUAUGACAAGGCACGCAGUGUGAGAGAAGCUGCUGUGCCCCAGGGAAGAGGGCAGCAGAAAGCCAUGGGCUGGAUAGUUUAUUAAAACACCCCUUUCAGACAGCAUCUGUCUCAGUCUGAAGACCUCAGAAGAACAGGGAACACAUCGGUGCAAACUACCCAUGGCUACAGCUGCAAAUGUCAUCUGAGCUUCCCAUCUGAACUAGUCCAGCUUCAGCUCACACUUACCG